ACGGAAGGCAGCAGUGGGGAAUUUUGCGCAAUGGGCGAAAGCCUGACGCAGCAACGCCGCGUGCGGGACGAAGGCCUUCGGGUCGUAAACCGCUUUCAGGGGGGAAGAAACUGACGGUACCCCCAGAAGAAGCCCCGGCUAACUACGUGCCAGCAGCCGCGGUAAUACGUAGGGGGCGAGCGUUAUCCGGAUUCAUUGGGCGUAAAGCGCGCGUAGGCGGCUCGCUAAGCGGGACCUCUAAUCUUGGGGCGCAACCCCAAGCCGGGUCCCGAACUGGCGGGCUCGAGUGCGGUAGGGGCAGGCGGAAUUCCCGGUGUAGCGGUGAAAUGCGCAGAUAUCGGGAAGAACACCGAUGGCGAAGGCAGCCUGCUGGGCCGUCACUGACGCUGAGGCGCGAAAGCUGGGGGAGCGAACAGGAUUAGAUACCCUGGUA
rnacentral:rRNA from 1 species